UAGUCCACGCCGUAAACGAUGAAUACUAGGUGUAGGGGGUAUCGACUCCCCCUGUGCCGGAGUUAACGCAAUAAGUAUUCCGCCUGGGGAGUACGACCGCAAGGUUGAAACUCAAAGGAAUUGACGGGGGCCCGCACAAGCAGCGGAGCAUGUGGUUUAAUUCGACGCAACGCGAAGAACCUUACCAAGACUUGACAUCCUUCUGACCGAUCUAGAGAUAGGUCUUCCCUUCGGGGCAGAAGUGACAGGUGGUGCAUGGUUGUCGUCAGCUCGUGUCGUGAGAUGUUGGGUUAAGUCCCGCAACGAGCGCAACCCCUAUUUUCAGUUACCAGCACGUAAUGGUGGGGACUCUGGAGAGACAGCCGGUGUAAACCGGAGGAAGGUGGGGAUGACGUCAAAUCAUCAUGCCCCUUAUGUCUUGGGGCUACACACGUGCUACAAUGGGGUGAUAACAAAGAGAUGCAACGUCGCAAGGCCAAGCUAACCUCAAAAACUC
rnacentral:rRNA from 1 species